rnacentral:tRNA from 1 species
GCUCUGGUGGUGCAGUGGUUAAACUGCUUGGCUGCUAACCAAAAGGUUGGUGGUUCAAACCCACCCAGAGGCU